rnacentral:piRNA from 1 species
UAUACAAGAGUCCUUGGUGGGGAAAACCCU